CAAAUACAAACAAAAUACGUGGAUUAGUGUAGUUGAUGAUCUAUAAGCUAAUGGCUUAUAGGCUUGUCUUGCCUAUUUGAGGACACCUGGGGAGAGGGUGUCACUGGGAUUAAGGAAAAAAGGCAGCACCUGGUGGACUGCAAAAACACUCUACGAGGUCAGGUAAUAUUCUGGCUGCAGAAUGUCAGACUGACAGCCCAGGGGCUGCCGGGCCGGGCAGCUGCUGACAGUUCUUUUCGGGUCUGGGUCUCACAAGCAUGAAGCGCAUUGCGGGUAAGGUGACCUAGGUCUCGCUCCUGCCAACGGCGUUAGGCAGGCUCGGACUUCGGUCUUUACUGUGGCAUCGCUGCCUUUCUGGUCCCCACGACCGCAACCGCAGUCCCUCCGCCCAGCUCAAGAUGGGUAAAAAAAAAAAAAAAAAAAAAAAAAAAAAAAAGCACAGAAAGCGGAUGCGGUGGGAGGCCACGCCCCAGGCGGCCGGGAAAUCCAGAGCGGGCGCGCGCUUUGCCAGCCACUUCCGGUCCUCAGAGUCGGGGGCGGGGCCGCACGCGGCUCUGACUUGGGGCGUGCGGCUCCCCCUGUAGGCGGCGUGCAGCGAGACGGCGGAGCUGGAAGGCCUCGCCGAGUACGACGGUUGCUGCCCCUCGGUGCGCUCAGCCUUUCUUUCCAGGCCCGCCUCCCGCCUCCAGCCUCGAAUUUCCUUUUUUGCUCACAAUUUCCCCCGGCCCUCUGAGUGCGCUUUCUUUUUUCGGGAAGCGGGGAGUGGAGAAGGAGGAUAAAAAAGGCUCCAGGUGCGAGGCAAAGAUGGAGGAAGGCUCCCAGGCCCCGGACUGGGACAGUGAUGAGACGGUGAUAGACGAGUCGGUGACGGAAAGUGACCUGGAAGAAGAGGAGCUGCCCUGGAGAAGGUUGCUCUUUGAUGAAGACACAUCUCUUAGAUCUGAGUUCAGUCUCCAUCCUGGUAUAAGUGGAAGGUGCAAAGGCAAACUUUCUCCUGAGAUUCAACUUGGGUUUAAACUGAGAGAUAAUCCCCAAGAGCAAAUG
rnacentral:lncRNA from 1 species